UUUCCGUAGGUGAACCUGCGGAAGGGUCAUUCAUAAUAAAGUGUUUUAUGGCACUUUUUAAAAAUCCAUAUCCACCUUGUGUGCAAUGUUAGAUCUCGUCAAUCUUGGCGAGAUUUUUAUACAUCAACUCAUUCUUUAACUAAUUUGUCUGAAAAACAUUAUGAAUACUUAAUUCAAAAUACAACUUUCAACAACGGAUCUCUUGGCUCUC
rnacentral:misc_RNA from 1 species